UCACAAUGAUGAAACUGUCCAAACAUUCACAGUUUCCACCAAAAUUCACCUUGUGUUGGAACAUCAGCUUCUUCCCGGGAUGUCUGAGUGA
rnacentral:snoRNA from 1 species